AUGUAGGGCAAUCUGUCUUUAAGUAGGGAUAAAUUACUCUAAAAGAAAUGAAUCCUAGAUAGUUUCCCUUCAAGUCAAGCAUCUUGU
rnacentral:pre_miRNA from 1 species